UAUAUUUUAGUGUAGGAUGCACAGUAAUUUUUGAUAUUACUAGAUAUAGUUUAAUUCUAUAAAGUAUAA
rnacentral:tRNA from 1 species